rnacentral:rRNA from 1 species
GACGAACGCUGGCGGCGUGCCUAAUACAUGCAAGUAGAACGCUGAAGAGAGGAGCUUACUCUUCUUGGAUGAGUUGCGAACGGGUGAGUAACGCGUAGGUAACCUGCCUUGUAGCGGGGGAUAACCAUUGGAAACGAUAGCUAAUACCGCAUAACAAUGGAUGACACAUGUCAUUUAUUUGAAAGGGGCAAUUGCUCCACUACAAGAUGGACCUGCGUUGUAUUAGCUAGUAGGUGAGGUAAUGGCUCACCUAGGCGACGAUACAUAGCCGACCUGAGAGGGUGAUCGGCCACACUGGGACGGAGACACGGCCCAGACUCCUACGGGAGGCAGCAGUAGGGAAUCGUCGGCAAUGGGGGCGACUCUGACCGUGCACCGCCGCGUGAGUGAGGAAGGUUUUCGGAUCGUAAAGCUCUGUUGUAAGUCAAGAACGGGUGUGAGAGUGGAAAGUUCACUAUGUGACGGUAGCUUACCAGAAAGGGACGGCUAACUCCGUG